UGUGAAUGGCUCGAAUAUCUGGGAACAAGCAACUGGAGAGUAAUUUGGUGACUGGAAAAGUAGCAAUGCAUUGCACAAGCAGAAAUGAAGAGCAGGAGGCGGAGGUGUCCCCAGAAAGGAUCAGCAUAGCAAGUGCAUCAUGAGGCAAGAGAGUGCACAGAUCACCCCUCAUGUCCAUCAAAGACCACUCAAGACCUGCUGACAUCAAGAGACAUUUUGCCAUGGACAUUUUUUAGUCCUUGGAUUUACCUGGCUGUUUAUU
rnacentral:lncRNA from 1 species